UCGAGAAUUUUUCACAAUGGGCGAAAGCCUGAUGGAGCGACGCCGCGUGGGGGAUGAAUGGCUUCGGCCCGUAAACCCCUGUCAUUUGCGAACAAAUCUUACCGGUUAAUACCCGGUGAGCUGAUUGUCGCGAAAGAGGAAGGGACGGCUAACUCUGUGCCAGCAGCCGCGGUAAUACAGAGGUCCCAAGCGUUGUUCGGAUUCACUGGGCGUAAAGGGUGCGUAGGUGGUGAGGUAAGUCGGAUGUGAAAUCUCCAAGCUCAACUUGGAAACUGCAUUGGAAACUACCUUGCUUGAGGGUUUGAGGGGGGAUUGGAAUACUUGGUGUAGCAGUGAAAUGCGUAGAUAUCAAGUGGAACACCAGUGGCGAAGGCGAGUCCCUGGACGAUUUCUGACGCUGAGGCACGAAAGCUAGGGGAGCAAA
rnacentral:rRNA from 1 species